rnacentral:tRNA from 1 species
GACUUCUUAGUAUAAAAGUACGUUUCACUUAGGAUGAAAAAGUCACCAAUAGGUGAGGGGUU